rnacentral:rRNA from 1 species
GAUGAACGCUGGCGGCGUGCCUAAUACAUGCAAGUCGAGCGAACAGAUGAUGAGCUUGCUCCUCUGACGUUAGCGGCGGACGGGUGAGUAACACGUGGAUAACCUACCUAUAAGACUGGGAGAACUUCGUGAAACCGGAUCUAAUACCGGAUAAUAUAUUGAACCGCAUGGUUCAAUAGUGAAAGACGGUUUUGCUGUCACUUAUAGAUGGAUCCGCGCCGCAUUAGCUAGUUGGUAAGGUAACGGCUUACCAAGGCAACGAUGCGUAGCCGACCUGAGAGGGUGAUCGGCCACACUGGAACUGAGACACGGUCCAGACUCCUACGGGAGGCAGCAGUAGGGAAUAUUCCGCAAUGGGCGAAAGCCUGACGGAGCAACGCCGCGUGAGUGAUGAAGGUCUUCGGAUCGUAAAACUCUGUUAUUAGGGAAGAACAAAUGUGUAAGUAACUAUGCACGUCUUGACGGUACCUAAUCAGAAAGCAACGGCUAACUACGUG